UACAGAGGAGCCAAGCGUUGUCCGGAUUGACUGGGCGUAAAGCGCACGCAGGCGGACGCGCGCGUGGGGUGUGAAAUCUGGCCGCUUAACGGCCAGGCGCCAUCCCAUACGGCGCGUCUGGAGCCUUGCAGAGGUCGGUGGAAUUGCCGGUGUAGUGGUGAAAUGCGUAGAGAUCGGCAGGAACACCCAGGGGGAAGCCAGCCGGCUGGGCAAGCGCUGACGCUGAGGUGCGAGAGCGUGGGGAGCGAACCGG
rnacentral:rRNA from 1 species